CCAAAGGGCACAAUCAAAGUGAUAAAUAGUGCUUUUCAAACUUUUGGGUUGCGUCCCAGUUUUUGGAUUGUGAAAUCAAGUUAGCACAACUCAAUAUGUAAUUUUGAAAAACAGGAUAGAAUAGAAAAUGCCAGACUGCAUUGGAUACAUGCAUAAGGAGUGCUAUGGGCUGAAUCAUAUCCCCACAAAUUCAUAUGUUGGAGUCCUAACCCCCGGUAGCUCAGAAUAUGACCUUAUUUGGAGAUAGAGUUUUUUAAAGAGGUAAUUAAGGUCAAAUAAGGUUAUUAGGGUGGACCCUAUUCCAAUAUAACUGGUAUCUUUAUAAGAAAGGGAGAUUAAGACACAAACGCCCACCGAGGGAAGACCAUGUGAGGACACAGGGAGAAGACAACCAUCUACAAUCCAAGGAAAGAGGCUUCAGAAGGAACCACCCUUGCUGACACCUUGAUGUUGGACUUCCGGCCUCCAGAACUGUGAGACAAUAACUUUCUGUUGUUUGAGCCACCUGGUCUGUGAUGCUUUGUUAUGGAAGUCUGAGCAAACUAAUACAAGGGGCGCCUCUAUCAGUAAAGAAAAAUUUUGGACAUGGACACUAUAUUCCAUUGUAUGGGAAUGACUGAUUCUACAUUAAGUCUGCUCGGUGCAAGGAUCAUGAGGAUGAAGACCUUUAUGAUGACCCACUUCCGCUUGAUGAAGAGUGUUGAGAGACCCCAAGUGGGAAGUGGCUGGAUCAUGGAGGUGGCUUCCACGCUGCUGUUCUCGUGAUAGUGAGGGAGUUCUCAUGAAAUGUGAUGGUUUUAUAAAUGCCAGUUUCCCCUGGGCUCUUCUGUCUUUCCUGCCACCUUGUGAAGAAGUUACUUGCUUCUCCUUUGCCUUCCGCCAUGAUUGUAAGUUUCCUGAGGUCUCCCCAGCCAUGUGGAACUGUGAGUCAAUUAAACCUCUUUUGUUUAUAAAUUACCCAGUUUCAGAUACUAUCUCUAUAGCAGUGCAAGAAUGAACUAAUACGGUGCCCCCACCGAAAGGUUGGAGGUGAUACCUUUUACCAGGGCUCUGGGUCCCAGCUUUUGGGGACCUUGCUUUUGUUUGUUUGCUUAUAUUUAUUUUAUUGUGGUAAAAUAUAUAUAACAUAAAAUUAUCCAUUUUAACGAUUUUAAAGUGUCGUUAAGUGCACUCACAAUGUUGUGCAACUGUUACACUAUCUAUCUGGUUCUAAAACUUUUUCAUCACCUUAAACAGAACUUCCGUAUCCAUUAAAUAGUAACUUCUCAUUCCCUCUCCUGUGAUCCCAAUAACCUCCAAUCUACUUUCUGUCUUUACGAAUUUGCCUACUCUAGGGACCUCAAGUAAAUGGAGUUAUAUGAUAUUUGUCUUUUUGUGUCUGGCUUAUUUCA